UGAGGAAUACUGCUCAAUGGGCGAAAGCCUGAAGCAGCAACGCCGCGCGCGCGAUGAAGGUCUUCGGAUCGUAAAGCGCUUUUGAGAGGGACGAGAUAGGACGGUACCUCUUGAAUAAGUCACGGCUAACUACGUGCCAGCAGCCGCGGUAAAACGUAGGUGGCAAGCGUUAUCCGGAUUCACUGGGCGUAAAGCGCGUGCAGGUGGCUUCGUAAGUUGGACGUUAAAUCUUUCGGCCUAACCGGGAGGUGUCGUCCAAUACUGCGGGGCUUGAGGGUAGAAGAGGGGGGUGGAAUUGCCGGUGUAGUGGUGAAAUGCGUAGAUAUCGGCAGGAACACCUGUGGCGAAAGCGGCCCCCUGGUCUGCUCCUGACACUCAGACGCGAAAGCUAGGGGAGUGAACG
rnacentral:rRNA from 1 species